GAAUCCAUAACAACAGCUGCAACACACAGAGACAUUGACUCUCUCUACAAUGAGAUAAAGAAUACUGAUGUGCGAAAUUGGCGGGAGGAAGAAUUGGAAUCAUUCAUACCAAGAAAGCUUUUCUUGUUUAAAAUCGACAGCAUGACACUCCCUGAAACAAAGAUAACACCUCGCAGAGAACCAGUACACAAUGUGCCACUUGGAUACCCGUUCCGUUUCGCCUUCAUCAGCACGUCUGGACGAUCACCAGUUAUCGACCUCUCAAAGGUUUUGGUAACCAAGAAACGUACUUUGAAGAAAAAAUUGUUGACAUUUUUGGGACGUUGCUUCCGGUGUGAAUUGGAGUAACAUUUGAUGACGUGGUUAUGAUGAUACAGAGUCCGCUGUACGGUCAAUCUGCUGACAACAUGAUUGACCAGUCUUUGUAGAUUCGCUCCUUUCCCCAGAGAUUCGCUUCACACUCAUAUAUAACGGACAUUUUUUAAUAUAAAUCUCUAUUAAAUGCCCAUUGCGAAUUUUUUCAUGGAAUUUUUAAAGUUUUUUAUUAAGAAAAAAAUAUUUUUA